UACAGAGGUCCCAAGCGUUGUUCGGAUUCACUGGGCGUAAAGGGUGCGUAGGUGGUUGGGUAAGUCUGAUGUGAAAUCUCCGGGCUCAACCCGGAAAUGGCAUUGGAUACUAUUCGGCUAGAGGAGUGGAGGGGGGACUGGAAUACUUGGUGUAGCAGUGAAAUGCGUAGAUAUCAAGUGGAACACCAGUGGCGAAGGCGAGUCCCUGGACACUUCCUGACACUGAGGCACGAAAGCUAGGGGAGCAAACAGG
rnacentral:rRNA from 1 species